rnacentral:rRNA from 1 species
UACGGGGGGAGCAAGCGUUGUUCGGAUUUACUGGGCGUAAAGGGCGCGUAGGCGGCCAGCACAAGUCAGUUGUGAAAUCUCCGGGCUUAACUCGGAAAGGUCAACUGAUACUGUGCGACUAGAGUGCGGAAGGGGCAACUGGAAUUCUCGGUGUAGCGGUGAAAUGCGUAGAUAUCGAGAGGAACACCUGCGGCGAAGGCGGGUUGCUGGGCUGACACUGACGCUGAGGCGCGAAAAGCUAGGGGGAGCGAACGGG